AAGUAUUUGCCCACUCAUUAUUCUUAUUAAGACAACUGUGUUUUUAAACUGUGGCAGGCAUCUUACGGGCAGCAAUUCACUCAAAGUUCAGUUUCUCAGAAAAUGACAAUAUUCCAUAACAAUUUGAAAAAAGAA